UGUCAUAUCAGCCACAGUCAUCUCAAAAGGCUCUGAGAAAUAAAGCACAAAUAGAUGCUAAACUCUAAAACUCUCCCCUUCAAAAUCUAAGACAAAAUGGUGAAAGUGAGCACACUGUGCCUCAAGUAAACAGCUCUUUCCAAUCAGCUUGUCUUAAAAAAUGAGUAAUCAGCACAACCAGAUUAAGAAACAGACUCAUGAAGAAUGUAUUUACUUGGGGAGGAAUGAUAGCAGGUGGCGGCUGUCCAUAAAAUAUUUGUUGCCCUAGACCAGGACCGCCAGGGGGGUACAUUGGCAUUCUAGGAGCAACAGAGGGUCCCAUUGCAAUUGGACGCAAUUGAGAAAAUUGAGCCUGCAUGAAUGCAAGGAAAAUUACCCACAUUCAUCAAAAUAACCAUAGUAGAUACAAAAGCAAAAGUAUCAAAAUUUCAAAACUGGAGAGAGAGAGAGAGAGAGAGAGAGAGAUCAGGUGCGUUCUUCACAUUACAAAGAUUCCAUGGAAUAUAAUUCUCAUUCAAUAAAAAAGUGUACUCAUACUCUUAUUCUAAAUUAUCACUAACUGUCAUGAGGUUUUAGACUACAAAGUCAAAAUAAGAGAUAGCAUCCAAAAUAUACCUGCAACCUUGCUCUUCUCUCUUCCUUUCUCUGUGCAAGAGCAACAUAAAGUGGUUUGCUAACAAUCAUCUUCCCAUUCAUUUCAGAAAGCUGUGGCAGUACAGAGUAACAUUGCACCUUGAAGCUCAAAUGGAGGAAUAUAACACACUGAAAUUUCACAAAAACAAAACCACAAACUUACAGCUCUUGAUGCUUCUUCAGGAGAUGAGAAUGCAACAAACCCAGAUCCUCUGCUGAUUCCAUUGGGAUCUCGCAUAACCUGGAAGAUACAAGUAGAACACAAAAACUUAAUUAUUGUGACACAACAAUUGGAUAGAGAGAUGCUAUUCAAACAGACACAGGCACCAGAGACCUUGCAUGAAGUUAUAACACCAAAGGGGGAGAACAAUUCCCUAAGCUUAUCAUCAUUAAUGCUGUCAUCUAAAUUCUUUAUAUAGAGGUUCAACCCUUGUGAUUUGUCAGCAGCCUCCUUAAUACUCUGCUCGAAUCGUUGUUUUAAUUCUUGUUCUCUCUCAGAUUUCUUUUGGGCUUUCCCAACAAACCAUUCUUUGUUAUCAAAUUGAUAUCCAUUAACAGCUUCAACAGAUUUUGCAGCAUCUUCAGGGUUCUCAAAGUUCACGAAUCCAAAACACUUUGACUUUCCAUCUUCAUCCCUCAUUACCACAAUACUAGUUAUUGUCCCAUAAUCACCAAAUACUUUCUUUAGGUCUUCAUCAGUGGUUGAUUCUGAGAGAUUCUUCACAAAAACAUUAGUAAAUUUUGUCUUGUCUACAGCCAUUUCUCUUUCUUGUUUCCGAAGGAAAGGUCCGACAUAUACUUGCUUAUCAUUCAGCAGCAUCCCGUUGAGUUUCUCAAUAGCUUUUUGAGCAGCUUCAUCAGUAUCAUAUUGCACAAACCCAUAGCCCUUUGACUGACCAGAAACAUCGGUUGCCACCUUGCAAGAGAGAAUGUUUCCAAAUACAGAAAAUGUAUCGUGCAAAGCCUUAUGGUCAAUCGCUUUGUCCAAAUUCUGUCAAGAGAGAGAAAAUAAUCAUUUGAAAAGAACUAAAAAAAAUUCAAUUGGGAGCAAAGAUGUUACUGACCAUUGGACCAUAGGGUACAACGACCAAGCCCCCCCCCCCUCCUUUCAAAAAAAAAGAAAAAGAGAAGGAAGGGAAAAAAACUGAAGCAGAGAACCAUAUACCUUAAUAAAUAUAUUUCCAGCACCACUUUUACGUAUGCUGGGGUCUCUAUGAGAAUACAUAACUCUAAUGGGCUUCCCAUUGAGAGGAGUAAAAUUUAGGAUCUCUAGAGCCCGUGCAGCUGUGUUGGAGACAAAGAAAUAUGGUUAGCAACAGCACUGGGGAAUAAGACCCAAACACAAGCAGACAGGAUGGAAUGAAACAAGAAGACCAACUAAUAUACAGUAGUAAAAGAAAAGUUUACUGUUGCAAAUAGAACUUCAAAAGGACUAGCCAUGCCUGGAUGAACUGCUGAAUAAUGCUUCAGAGAUGCUCAAUAAUAAGACCAGUAAUUCCUUAGAAAUGAUAAAGAUGAACUAUUAUAUAUCACAAGAAUUCAAAUAAACAAAAGCAUGGUCUUUUCCUAUUAGGAGGACUUGAAAUACGAAACCAAAGGAUGUGCAUCUCAAAUAAAAAUCAAAGACUACGAUAACACUAGUGUCCUCAACAUAAACCAGACACAUACAUACAGUAAUGAUAAUCUCAUAACUCACCCAAAUCAGCGAUAUUUACUUGAGAACCCAGGAAUAGAUGACUUUUUCAAUAAAAUAACACCCGAACUCCACAUAACUAUGACAGUAACCAUUAGGUCACCAAAGCAGCCAAGGAAUUGAAUAGAAAUAUGAAGGCAGCAUUAAUUGAAGGAUAAGGAGUAUGAACUAACCAUCUUGCGGAUUGCCAUAAUUGACAUAACCAUAUCCAAGUGACCGGCGAGUCGUCAAAUCCCGGCAAACCCUGACCGAAACCACCUGUCCAACCUGGUUGAACAGAUCGUAAAGCUGCGAAUCAGUCACGUGCAAAUCCAAGUCACCUACAUAAAGCGACGUCGGCACGAACUGAGGAUUCGCACCGCCAGCAGCAGCUGUAGUAGUAGCAUUCACAUUCAUCACCGACUGCGGCACCUGAACCUGAGCCAUCUCAACUCGAAAACCGUAGCUAAAUGGAGGACAAAAAUUUUAGGAUAUUUUUUGGAAAUUUUUCAAUUUUUUUUGUGAUUUUUUUCUCGCUUCCCUCUCCUCUUGUUAUUCGAGAAACAAACCCUAGACAGUAGCACCAAAAAUUAUGACAGUCUAAAUUUGGAAAAUGUUCCCGAAAUUUUCGUUUUUUUUUCUUGCCUUCAAUAUAUUAAAAGAAAAUCCAACAAAAAGAUAUUUUUAAACUCAAAGAUUUUCUUUUUCCUUUUUUUUAGCUUUUUACACUAAAAAGAGAGAGGAGAGGGAAGGAUGAAAAUAGAGAAGGAUAAGUCGGAGAUCCGACGGAGGGUAUGGGAGUAUCGCCGCCGACAGCGACGGCGACGGCGCUGUGGGAUGAGAGAGGAGGGGCAGGGGAGCAAAGAGCAAGUGCACGGGGCAAGGGCAGAAGCGGCGGUUUUUUUAUCCCUGGCGGGCUCAAUAGCGGUGCGCGCGGUUACCCUAGGGGGUGGGCAAGCUUGUGCACAAAAUCUGCGCCGUUGGAUUAGGAGAGGGGUACGCUGGCGGUUGGUAGAUACGGGAGGAGGAUUGUAUAUUUGUGCCAUUCUCAAAGGGUUGGGUUGGGAUUUGAUGUUAAGGGGAAAAAAGGGUAUAAAUUAACAAAUCAUGAGACUUCUAGUUAUUAUCAAAUAAUUACUCUUUUUAUAUGAUUUUGAAGGUAAAGUAGAAGAUCAGAAGAUUGCAUCUGAAUUUUAACUGGAAAGGAGCAAAAUUGUUCGUUGGUUGUAUGUAAAACAAUCCCUAUGAACUCUGCAAAAUAACAAUUGGGAAUGGGCAUAAAUCAGAAAAAGUCACACAAGCUUUCUUUUGUUUUUUGGGUUCUAUCAAAUUUAGGAGGAAUGGAGGAAUGCCCUUCAUUCCGUACGAGAAAUUUAUAUCAAUCUAAAAUAAGUACUAAACAUGUUUUAGUUGAUUCAGAAUCAAUAUAAAAAAACAUUUUAUGUGAAUAUAUAAGAACCUUACUUACUAAUUUACAUAUUGAAUGGAGUUCACUUAACAUGUCAAAUGAAAUAAAAUGAUACUCUCGUAUAUUCACGUGAAACCUUUCAUUGGUUCAAAAAAAAAAUAACUAGUAGGCGUAUUUAGCAAUUGCUUUGAUGGACAUAAAAUUUUCCUCCCGAUACUAUAACCAAGAUAAAUUGAGUUAAACCAUUGAGUAUAUAUUAUUGGUUUGUUUGCAAGAUUCCAUAGCUGAGUUUUAUUUCACUAUAGUCCCUUCGGAGACAUCCGAUAAAAUUGGAACGAUACAAACUAGCAUGGCCUGGGCAAGGAUGAUAUGCGUAGAUAGUGAGAGUUUUAUUUCACUGGACCUAUCUUCUACGUCUGUUUGGGGCACAAGCGCAUGGUCAUAAUGACGCUGGAUUUAUUUCAAACUAGUAUUUUGACCCGUGCUACGCACGGGGUUAUAUUUCAAAUCAAAAUAAUAUUUUAUAUAUUUAUAUAUUGUGGUACAAAAUAAUAAAUAUAUAUAGACUAAAAAUUUUAAAGAAGUGUAUGCCUAAUAUCUUGAAAAAAAAUUAAUAUAUAAUGAUUUACAUGAUAAAAGAAUUGUUAAUGCAUUUAAGGUGAGGGUUAAGUUGGGUAGUAAGGUGAGAAGAGUUUUCUAAAAAAAAGUCAAUUUAUCAAUAUCCGACAAAACAUAUUAUGUUAUACCUAUAUAUCAAAACUUAUAAUAUAAAAAAAUAAAUUAUAACCAAUUUAUUUUCUUCAAUUUUUAGAAAAAAAAUCUUUCUCCUAUCUUAUGCCCCCUAAAAUUGUUGACUGCAUUUAGAUUAGCAUUUAAAAUUCUCCGUAAUAUGUGUUUGUAGAGUUCUCAAAAUUAUUAAAAAUCACCAUCAUUUCCCCCCUCCCUUAUACGCCAGCUAGUCAUCAGAUACCUCCUACGACUUUUAUAUCUUCUAUCAUGGUACCAUCCUCUCUAUUAUAUAUUUUUUUUGUCAUCUCUGUCAUAUCCCUGUAAUCCCCUUUCUUCUUCUCUCCCUUCUCCGUCCAUCCUUGUAACUCAUAUUUCUUCUUCAACCUUUCUUGCUACUUUUCAACAUCUCACCAUUUUCUUCCCUCGCUUUCCCCCUAUACCUAACCUCUAAAUUCAUAUCCCUGCGACCCAAUAUAUUUAACUUUACCUAUCAUAAUGAAAAUAUAAAAUUGAAUUGAAAAUUAACUACAGUGGUUGCAAUUAUUAGUAACUAAAAAUGGAAAUGAAAAACUGAUAAUAUCUAUAAUAUCUUCAAGUACUACAAUCAAUAUAUAUAUAUAUAUAUAUUUUAACAUAGCAAAUACAUAUUUACAUAUGAAGAUAGCAAUAAGAAUACAUAAAAUAAUUAAUGAUACCAAAAGUUAUCCUUAGUGUUUGGGUUUUGCACUCUUAUUCAAAUCUAUUGUCAAAUUUGGGCCAGAUAUAUACAAAUUAAGUAGUAUUUUAAGGUUGAAUGUUUUAUAUCUUUCUCUUAAACUAUAAUAUUACUUUUUUUUAAAAUUUUUGGUAGAAUUGGUAUUGUUAUUAUCAUCAUUUUUUUAAUCAAAAAUGAAUAUUUCAAAAAAAAUUUCAAUGUUAAAAGGCUAGUAGUACUUUGUUUUCUAUUUAGUGAUUUCAUAAUUUAGAUUUAUGAAUGGUACCAUUCUUGAUUUUUUUAAAUCCACGACAUUAUUUUCUUUUUGUUUUCUAUUUAAUGUUACCCUUUUACUUAGGAUUACUAAGUUUAAAGAUAAAAUAUUAUCAUUUACUUUUUUACUUUUACUAAGUUUGGUAAUGUUUUCUUUUUAUUUACCCUCCCACUAAUAAACUUCAAACCAAAUUCCUAUAUAAGCGGAGCCACUACUUUUUUAAAUUAGAAAGGCACGGGAGCUACUUCUUACUUAAGAAAAUGUUAUUUGCACUCAAUUUUUUAUUAUUUGCAAUUCCACCAUUUGUUUUAUCAUAUAGUCUAAUUACUGAAAAUUAUAUGAUCAAAAUGACUAUUGAAGUGUGAAUAACAAAAAUGGAGUGUAAAUAAUCUUACUUAUUUAAAUUAAUAAGAAAGCAUGAAAGGAUGUUAUAUUUGUUAUCUCUUCUUAUGGUCUUACAGAUGUUUUAAUUGUUGUAGAAUCAUAAAUAACGCAAGGCAAUUGGAAACGUGAUGGGUUAAAGUUCAAAUAGGAUAACAUGCACAUUAACCAACAAUUUGAAAUGCAAUGAUUUUAAAAAGUAACCAACAAUUUCAAAUGUGAAGAGUAGAUGUGAAAGUUGAGAGGAAUAUAUUUUAUAAAUUAAAUUAAAUGUGAAAUGUUAGAAAAAUGGAAUUGGUAGUGGGAAGAUGCUAGGAGGUUUGUUGCUAAAAAUCCCUUCUCAAAUUUAUAUAGAUAUAGAUUGAAUGGAACACAACGGUACGUGAUUAUUUUCGUUAAGAUGGCAUUGCCCUGGGUUAUGCGCUUCCUCCACCUAAAUAGAGACUUCACGUUAGCAGCUGGCCCUUGCCUUAUUUUUUCUAACACUGUGGAUGUUAAUUGACAUGCGUUCUUCGAGCAAAACGGGUUUAGAAAUAUUUACAAAGUAUUGUCAUAAUUAUUAUGUCUCUGUACGGGCACAUUAAAAAAAAUAAAAACAUGCGAGUAUGCUUUUGAGACCUAUAACAUCAAGCUAGAACUUAAUUAUACGCACUACGACAAAUAACUACUACCACUCUAUCACUCACAUCACAUCUAUUCACCUUUAUUUCGCUCUUUGUCAGUUUGGAUGGAUCGUUUUUUGAAAUAUAAGUUUUUUAUGUACAAUGUUAUAAUAAUACAUAAAAAAUAAUAAUUUAAAAAUAUCAAAAAUAGCCUCAAAAAUACCAAAAAAGCCUCAAAAAACAACCUCAUAUACAUUAAAAGUUUCUCACCUACACCAUUACAGUAAAAUAUUUCAAAAAUAUCCCAAAAAACAGCUAAUUUAAACAGAGCCUAUGUGAAUUUUAUUGGAUAUAUCCGUACGUGAGAGGAAAUAUGUAACACUUACUCUAUAAUCGUAUCAAGUUUCAAAAAGUUAUGUACAGAAUACCUCCAUCAUUGAGUUGUAGGUGCCUAGGUGGGGGUUCAAAUCCCAUCUACAGCGAAAAAAAAUUUAAAAGUGGUGUCAAAACAUCCUUUCGAUUUAGUAAGGUCUAUAUAUCUACUAGCCUCUGACACGAGUCUCUUUAUACUCCCUCUCGCCUCUAGUUUAGAAUAAAAUAAAUUAUACAAUAGUUAUAGUCUCGAAAAAAAAAGAAAAGAAUACAUCCAUCAUAUUUGACAUCAAGUAUGAACUAGUCCACAUCCAUCAUGCCUUGCACUCUGGCUUUCACCAAGUUUUGUGUCUCGUCACUGCACCGGUUGACCCAACUCGAGUCUUACCACAAAAUGACACCAAAUGCAAAAUCAUCCACAGAAAAGCUAUAUAAUAAGCCAGCGUCGAUUGGUUGGUUGUUUUGACAUCGUUAGGGGCCUGUCUGACGACAAAUGUUUAAUCGGCACUCAUUGAAAUAUAUUUGAAGUGUCAUAUUUUUUUAUAUGUGAUUUAAAAUAAUUAGGCAAGGCAAAUAAAUAGGUAAAAUUAAAUAAAAUGUAUAUAAAUGUAAGGAAUAAUAAUAAUUGUUAGUAUGUAUAUAUACGUGAUAAAUUAAGUGAAUUUUAGAUGUACUAAUGAAUGUGCAAUGAGCACGUGUUAAAACACUCGUAAAACAAAUAUGCAACGUGUCUUUCUGUUUUCAAAAUCCUAAACUAAAAAUUGUGAAGCUUGGCGUGUAAUAGUGUGAUAGUGGUCGGUUGGUUCAUGAGCAAGUCAAAGGGAUAGAAAUACAUAUCACGAGAAAGGAGAAACUUCUAUUUAAAGCAAAAAAAAAAAACACACUUGGAGUGCGAGAGAGAGACAAGAGUACAGAAGAACAAAAACUAGGCCUUAUUGAUCCUAUCUUUCAAUUGUCAGUUUACGGAAGUUAUCAACCUAUCUAUAUCUAUAUAAAUUUGAGAAGAGAUUUUUAACAACAAGCCUCCACAACCCUUCCCACUCUCAACUCUAUUUUUCUAGCAUUUCACAUUUAUCUUAUAUCGUAAAAAAUAUCAUGGGCACAUUACAUCCCCACGUUUCCCUCAAAUAACAAGUUAACUCUAACUAACACUCCCACGUUCCCUCAAACAAAAAUUUAACUUCCACUUACAUUAAAACUCUUUCCACUUAUCCGCGCGUCAGAUGGUUGUGGUACCACUACUGAUUCCCAUUUUCCAGUGAGUUGAAGAGCAUUGACAGAAUAAAGAUAGCCCCUAAUUCAAUGGAAUUGAAUAUAGCACAUGAUCUUUUCCAACUGCCACGGAGCAACAAUAUACUUGGUACUUAGCCCCUAAUUCAACAGAAUUGAAGAUAGCACAUGAUCUUGUCCAACUGCCACGGAGCAACAAUAUACUUGGUACUACUACAAGUAACUCUUACAAUUUCACUCCACACCCACCUUUCCACUACAAUUAAAACCCUUCCAAUCAACUUCCUUCUCGAACCUCUCAAAUUAACUUCACAAUGGAACAUGGUCGUUUACAGGCAUGUCAACAACGCCUAAAUUUCAAACUCGUAAGAUUGCAAAGGAGGAAACAUCUGCUAACAAAGCGAAAAGGACGCCACAGCGGUCCCGCACAAGAAUUGGAAAAGUUCCAACAACUUUGCGUCGACGAAAGAGAAAUCUCACAUCAACUACGAUGGAUAAAAUCUCGACUACACCGAUUCAAACGCCGCGCCAAUCAAAUUAGAAGUUUCGGUACUAUUUAUUCUUUUAAUAUUGAUAUUUUCAUUGUAUCAUUCUCAAUAUUAUAAUAUUCUCAAUAUUACAAUAUUACUGUUGUUUCCAUUGUUUAUAAGCAUUAAGAUUCUUUAAAUAUUCUCCUUCUUCACAUGUUACUAAUCCUUGUUGGCUCAAUCAACAACGUAUGGUACUAUGGCUUUUAUGUGAGUUUAGGCAUUUAGACAUACAGUUCUCAUUGUAUUAGUAAUUAAUCAGAUUAGUCCCGAAACAUGGUCAUAGCUUUGAUUAGAGAAAACAUUUUUUUGUCAUUAAAUGUCUACCUAAAUGUCUCUUUCAUGAAAUAGUCCCGUGGCUGUUUUAUGAAUAGUGGGCUUAACGGAUAAAAAGGAGACACAAUCUUAUGUGUGUAUACAAUACAUUAUAAAGGAAAUUAUAAUUAGAUGUAGUAAUACUCAAAACAAAUCGAUUAUUUCUACGCACAACGGCUAAAAGUUUAGAACAAAAAUGGAGAUUAAGAUAUUUUCUCCAGUUACCUCAAGUGACUAUCCAAACUUAGAGACAAAUAGCUGGGGAAACUUACGAGGGAGUAAUGUAACAUUCUUUUUUUUCUUUUGAAAACAAUAUAAAAGUAAGGUAAUGUGAAUUAACUGAAACAUUAUACUGAACAAGGAAUGCAGUUUGCAUUUAUUGCAUAAGUCUAUGGUGGAAGAUCAUGCUUAAAGUGUUUCACUAUAGCCCUUUAAAUUUGACAAAGAUAAUGAGUAAUUCUCAAAAGUAUACUACGCCCCACAUUAUGGCUGGAAAACUGAUCAUAGCAUGAGUUGUACUCAUGAUAUGACUUAUGUUGGUUUUACCCCAAACUGUUAAUAUGGUAGCAUAUUGGUUAUUACUCCAAAUUGUUGUAGUACUAUUAAUUAUGAUCACGAAAAAUAGUAGUACUAUUAAUUAUGAGUUGUGAUCUUUGUAGUUCCUUCGUUUCUUUGAAAUAAGAUGUUCUGAAGGUUGACAUUAACAGAUUACUACUAGCGGGUAGGUUCGUUUUUUGUGUUUUGGCUUUUUUUUUUUGGCAGAUUUUGUGUCUUACUACAUUACAUGUCCUUGGGCUGUUCAAAUCUGGAUUAUGCUGUGGAAAGUUGGAAUCGUGCAAGACAAAAAUGUUGAUGAUCGAUAGAAAGAGCAAAAAAAAAAAAGGGAAUAGAUUCAAAAAAUAAUUCUUGCAAAAACAUAUGAGACAAUGGCACCCAAGAAUCUUUAACUCUAGCCCAUGAAUUCUUGGAAAAAAUUGCUUACAAGAACAUAUGAGACAAUGGCACCUAAAAAUUAAUAUACUUUUUAGAUGUAAUCUUAUGGACAGUAAUCUUAUGUAUCAAAUUAGAAGUUUUGGUACUAUUCAUGCUUUAAAUAUUCUCCUUCUUCUCAUGUUACUAAUCUUUGCUGGAUGAUUCAACAAAGUAUGGUACUAUGGCUUUUAUGUGAGUUUAGACAUUUAGACAUAUAGUUCUCAUUGUAUUACUAAUUAUUCAGAUUAGUCCCGGAACAUGGUCAUAACUUUGAUUAGAGAAAAAAGACAUUUUUGUUGGCUUUUAUGUGAGUUUAGACAUUUAGACAUAUAGUUCUCAUUGUAUUAUUAAUUAUUCAGAUUAGUCCCGGAACAUGGUCAUAGCUUUGAUUAGAGAAAAAAGACAUUUUCUACAUAAUGGCAGACUGCUACCUGGUCUCAAAUUACACACUUUGACUUCUAAUUCUUGCAAAUUUAGGAAUCGGGACUCUGUCUUUAUGUGGUUUUUAACUCUUAAGUAUCUUCUUCGAGGUAAAAACUCAAUCUUUUGCUUAACUUUUAGUGGAAAAGAGAAAUUGCUGAAGGUGUAGAGUUCUACUGCGUGGGUAUCCUUUGAAGUAUAAUGGUCGUACUUAGAGAUCCAGUAUUAUUGUCAAUAUGUUUGAUGUGCUAGAACUAGGUACCUAAAUUUGACUCCUUUUCGUUGUUGAACAAAACUUGGCAAAUUGAGUACCAAUCAUUGACAAACACUGAUGACAGGAAAAACCUGCCAUGUAGCCUGCUAAGAAACGCAAGUAGUUGAUUUAGGUCUUGCGGUGAAACUGAUCAAGUCGGUUCAAUCAAGCAAAACUCUAAUUGAGGUCAAUGGUAUGGAACAUAUGAUCCAAGUUUUUGCAGCUGAUUUUAAAAAAAAUUUGACUCAUUAUAUUUGUAAAACAAUGUAGGAACUGAAACCUUAGAAGACAAACCUUCAAAAUCCAUAAUUGAUUAUUCUUUCAAAUUAAACUUUGUGCAGAAUCCCAUACUAAUAUUUAUAAAAGGUGCCAUCGACAUAUAAGCUCAUGAGAAUGAGAUGGUUGAUCCUAAGAAGUAGCACAAUCCAGAAUAAUAUAGUAACUUUUCAGAAUAAUAUAUGCACGGGCACGUUGAUAGGUGUAAAGCAAAUGGCUCACGGAGCAUCUUUCACACGCCUACUUAUAAUAACGAGCAUCUGUCCAACCGAAGCAUCUUUUAGAAAUCUUACUUAUGGUGGGAAUGAGGUUCUAAAAAAAUGUAAAAUUCAUGUCACAUCUUGAUUGUGCUAUGCACGGGCAUAAUCCAGAAUGAGAUGGUUUCCAUUGUUUAUAAGAAUCAAGUUAGAGGUUUCCAUACUAUUUAUUCUUUAAAUAUUGGUAUUUUCAUUAUAUUUACAAUUAUUAAUAAUAUUUUCAAUAUUAUAAUAUUAUUAUUGUUUUCAUUGUUUAUAAGAAUCAAGUCGGUAUUAUCUAUUCUUUAUGUAUUGGCAUUUUCAUUAUAAUUGCAAUUAUUAAUAAUAUUUCCAAUAUUAUAAUAUUAUUGCUGUUUCCAUUGUUUAUAAGAAUCAAGUUAGAAGUUACGGUACUUAUUCUUUAAAUAUUGGCGUUUCCAUUGUUAUUUCAAUUAUUAAUAAUAUUUCCAAUAUUAUAUUAUUAUUGUUGAUUUCAUUGUUUAUAAGAAUCAAGUUAGAAAUUUCAGUAUUAUUUAUUCUUUAAAAUUUGGCAUUUUUAUUGUACUUCUAAAUAUUAAUAAUAUUUCUAAUAUUAUAAUAUUAUUGUUGUUUUCAUCGUUUAUAAGAAUGUGGAAAGAGUACCAAUUGCUUAUAAGCACUUUAAUAAAUACUACCGAAAGCUCCCCAAUUGCUUUGUUAAUAUGUUACAUGUUAACAAAUAGUACUAAAACCUAUUAUUGCAUAUGCAGUAGUCAAUCAUAAUGAAUAGGAUCACUACAAUCUUAUCUAAUAUCAGAGGUUCACAUAAAUAUAUCGUCAUUUUUACUACCAAAAUUGACAAUUUGUUUGGAACAAUAAUUAACAUAAUAAAAAAUAUAUUUUACUAUUCUAAAUGUUUAAUUACAUACCAUAAAAAAUAUAGUGACUCAAAACUCUUAUGGUCGAAAUCAUGCUUCACAUUUCACAUCGAUUUCACCCACUAAAUAAUGUCUCAAACAUAAAAUAUUACCUACUAUCAGAAACAUUACCAAAUUAAGGAUAAAUUUUCUCAAAUGUUACUAUUAAAUACACAUAUUACCAUUCAUUAAUUAAAAAAUAUUUUUUCAAUCUAAAAUACUUCUUUUCGAUAUUUCUAAUCUUUGCACAUAACGUAAUUUGUCGUUACCAGAAUGGGGAAUAAAGUUCUCGAGGUAGAAGUCACAACAGGAUCUAAUAUUGGAGAUUUAGUUCUCAUACCUCGGAUCUCUUUAACACCACAGAGUGCACGGACUCCUUUUCCAAUUAAAAGGAGACAAUUUCCUGUGAAAGUGGCAUUUGCAAUGACUAUCAACAAAAGUCAAGGCCAAACCUUGAAAAAUGUUGGCGUUUACCUUCCUGAACCUGUGUUUUCACAUGGUCAACUUUAUGUUGCUCUGUCCCGUGCUACUUCGCCAGUUGGAUUGAAAAUACUCAUUGUUAAUAGAGAUAAUGAUCCAUGGGAUUAAACAAAAAAUAUUGUGUAUCGUGAGAUUUUUGACUCCCUUUGAUAAAUUAUGGACAUCGCUUUGUUUACAAAAAUAGUAUAUUUACAUCAGACCAUAUGUACUAUAUAUGCUUCACACUUUGGCAUUUUUUUUGUACUUCUUUGAAUUUGUGUUACUUGCUGUAUCAAAUAUAGCGCUUAAAUAAUUAACCUUCAUGCUAUAUUAUAAUAAUUUACAGAUAUUCGAUAUACACCUUUACUCUAUCUGGAUCCUUGCGGAUACGGAUGGAAUGUAAAGGUUAGAUUGUUUCGAUUAAUAGAUAUGACCAUAUAUGGAGUGCUUCAACGUUCGGGAUGUAUCAAGAUGCUUUUUGUAGAUGAUCAGGUAAUAAUUAAGAGUGUAUGUUAUUUAUUAUAUUGAAUAUUGAAUAUUUACUAAUCUGUUGAAAACUAUCAGAAAUUUGUCAUGCAGGGAGUUAUAAAAGGCAGUAAUAUGAUAAACAUUUUCGCAGAUAAUCUUCAUGAAGGCAAGGUAUACUGGUUUCAAAAUAUAUAUGUAAUUCCGACAGAUCUUAAAUAUCGACUUGCACCACAUCAGUACCAAUUAUCGUUUGGAAACGAUACGAAGAUAGUGAAUAUUUUGGAUGAUUGUGCAACCAUACCCCGUUUCAAGUUUAAUCUGGUCAAACUAAAAGAUACAGAACAACACAUGGGCAAUGAUGUGCAAUUGAUAGGUAUUUCAUUCAUAAUUAACCAUACUUCUAUUUAAGUUGUUUAUUUGAAGUGGUAUUACUUAUAUUUUUUUAUCUUUUGCAGAUGUAAUUGGUUUAGUUGUAUCCGUUGGUUCACACUAUCAAACAUCUAUCAAUGACAAAACUAAGUAUGACAUACUUUUACUUGACAAAAGAUUAGUCACUAGAUUCAAUAUCCUUUAAAGUAUUUUAUAUUCUACAAAUUUUGAUUUAUACUUACCAAAAUUGUCUAAAUGAAGUUUGACAGUAGUUCGGUUGACUUUAUGUGAUAAAUUUGCAACCGAUGAUGGUGAACACUUGCGUCAAACUGUUACAAAAAAUAAUGUUUUGCUAGCCUGUGGUAUUUGUGUGAGAAAUUAUAAAGGUAAUUCAAUUUAUUUUCAUUUUAUUUUAUUUAAAUUUUAUAGUUUAUUAAUAAAUAAAGCACAUUGUGCAAGACCGUUACUGUAUACUAUUCGAGCAAGCAAAUUGUAUAUCAAUCACUACUUGAAUUUUGCUCAAUACCUACACAGUUGGUAAGUUUUACAAAUACCAAAAUAUUAAAUUAUUAAUAAUAUUUCAUACCUUUACGAAUAUGUAUUUGAAAAAUGUACAGGUUUGAGAAUGAUAAAUGUGCUCAGAAAUUAGUGACGUGGUUGCGGUCAUGCAAUUUUACAAUAUCCCAAACAUUGUUGAUAUCAAAUGCUAAGAGAAUAUGGAUAUCCGAAUAUGCAGUUAUACUUACUGUACAAUUCCUCUCAAUUAAUUAAGUAAUGAACAAGUAUCUACAUGUAGUUUCGAAUUAAUAAUUGUAAUCUAUAUAUUCUUUGGAUGGUUUUAGGUUAAAUAUUUUCGAAUACUUAUUUACAUUCAAAGUAUCAACCUAGACAAUAUGUUCCAUGAGUUAUGCAAAAAUUGUGGCCAAUCAUAUCAAUCUCAUUUUGGAAAAAUGGUGUGUAUCCAUUGUAAUGACGUAGUCGACACUAUUGUCAGGUAAUUAUUUACAUAUAUUUUGAAUUUUAAUAUAAUUUGUUGCAUCAUACAUCACAAUUUCUUUUUAAUAGAUACAAUGUUAAUAUAGAAGUUAGAGAUUCUAGUGGUACCUUAUACCUCGCUCUUCAAGACAGGCAUGCACGAUUCAUGUUUCGUUAUGAUGCUUCUUAUCUUAGAGAUUUAAAAACAAAGGUAUACAUUAUUUAUGUGUAUAUUUUUUUACACAAUAUUAUUUACAAACUGUUUAAAACAAAAGUUAAUUUUGAACUAUGUAUGCUUUUAAUUGUCAGAAAAAUGGAGGUGCAUUGUUCGACCAACACAUUAAUUCAUGCAAAAAUCGUGUAUUCUCAUUUAUAGUGCGAACUCCACAAAAACCAACAGAAUUAAUUAAACCCCCAAUACUGGCGUUCGUACUCAGAGUUGAUUGGUGUGAAGAAUGUUCACACCUUCGUAGAAGAUUAUCAAAUCAAAGGCAAAAUGUCUGUAAGUAUUUCAUUUACUUAUCAAAUUAAAUAUUCAAUUAUAUUUAAUUGGACCCUUAUGUCGCUCAAUUUAUGAUAUAAAUUUCUAUUUUUUUCAAGAUCCAACCUUCAUCAAAGUGAUCGUUUAUAAAUAAUGGAGAUGUUUUUAUCAUAUAUUGAACUAUUGUUACAAAGUUUCAUUUUUUUAAAUAUACUUUCAUGUGCCCAAGAUUAUAAUAUUUUACUAUUCUUAAAUUCUUUCAUAGAUUGUAAUUUUUUUUAAUAAUGAAAGUACCGUGCGUAGCACGGGUAUUCACACUAGUAUAGUAAAAGCAUGAAUGAAUUUUCUAAAGAUGGUGGUUGUUGUGCUGACGUGGCUGCGUUUUAUUGGUUGGAGUUUGGUCGUUAUUCACGUGAGGCUCGCGUGCUUUCGCUAGGGGGAGGAGAAGUGGAAUUCUUUCUUUGUCCGAGAGAAGAAGGUGAGGACCUUCGGUUUUGAGAAGAGACCGUUUCUCUGUAGCAUGGGUACCAUUCUCUUGUCAGCAGCUUGCUAGCUGAGUGAGCUUAUGACGGUAGGUGAUGGUUUGAUUGAUGACAGGUGUUGGGUGAUGGGCUUAAUGUGGGUUGUAUGAUUUGACGAUAUUGCCCUUUUUUUAAAAUCAAAUGCACCGUUGUAUCUUGCUGAGCUUCUUCCUUCUCCUUGCGAUUUGGGAGUUUCAGCUCUUCUCUGCAAACCUCCCAAAGAAUGCCUUUUUUCCUCUUUCCUUUGAUUGACAAGACUGAAAGCUCUUUGUUUCUCCGAUGUAUAUAGAGGUUUCUAUGUUUCUGAUGCCACAUUUUCCAACUAUCAUCAUCAUGAUUCACGGUAACUGUGCCUCAUUUUCAUUGUUCUUUUCUUCCUCUUCAGUUGCUUGCUUCUUGGUUCUGAGCUAUAGCCUCGCUUCUUUUUCCUACUUUCUCUUUUCUUUGUAAGAAUUGCUAUCUUGCUGUCUUCUUCCGUAAGGUUUAAUUCCACUGUUAUUCUUUGAUUUUAUCUCCUUUUUCAGCGUAUUGCCUGCAUUGUCGUUCUUAUUUGGUUUUUUCCCCCCUAAAAUUUAUGCCCUCCUAAUCUGUUACUGUUGCAUUGCCUAUUUGUUUUGCUAUUCGGCUCGAUUUGUUUUUUCUCUUCUUUCUCAUGCGGUUUAUUUAAAUUUAGUUUUCUACCGUGGCCUCCUGAGCUGUGUUUUCCACUUUCCUCCUAUCAACAGUUCUUGCAUCACUGUUUUUGUCUUUUUUAGUAGCUCCCAUUCGUGCUUUCUUGCUACGUACAGGUUAUCUUACCCCACCUUCUGUUUUAUGCUCUUUUUCCUUUUAACCUUGACUUUGUUAUACUUUUUCCCGCUUUGUUCUCUGCUACUUGUUGUGCCGCAUUUACUCUUUGUUAUUGUAUCUUCUUAACCUUUGCCCCUCUCGCUAUUUUAUUGGAUGCAGAAACAAGUGCUUUCCUCUUCUCUGUUGCUCUCCUGUUUGCUGAUAAAGAUUUGUUAUAUAUAUCUAAGGUUAAGGUGACUGGAUAUGCAUUCCCAGUAAAAUGAAGUUAUUUGAUACCUAGCUUCUUUCUUUGACCUAUCAGACAUUUAUUGAUCAGGCGUUUCAAGUUCAUCUGAAUAUGACUGGAUUCUCUUUUUUUGUUUUUUGUUUUUUUUUGUUUUUCUCUUUUUUCCUUUUCUUCAUCGAUUUUUUUCCUCCUCGGCCGCCAUGUCAUCUCCCUCUUCUCUAUCGGCUCCCUUGAAGGUGAAGUUUAUUUCACUUUAAUUUCUUUGUUUUAAUUGAUUGUUCAUCAUCUUUAUGAGUCAGUCUUGAUUGAUCAGAAAAUAACUGUUGUCAAAUGGACCUAAGAAAGGAACGCCGAAACUCAUGAGCAUUUCUUUGUUUAUCAACUUUUGGUGGCUUGCACCAGUAAAUUGUCGUUUCUGCAUUUUCAGGUCGUUUCUACAUUGAGAGGUGUAAAGAAGAUGCUUCCUAUUGGGGAACCAUCUCAUCAGGACGCCUGAAACGUAUACAAGAGAAGUAAGCAGCAGCCUACUCAUUCAUUUGACUUUUAAGCUGCGAAAAUAUUAUUAGUUCAGUUAAGCUUUUUUUUUUUAAUCCAUAUUCUGAAGCUUUUCAUUCUUCAUCUCCAAGCUUCAUCGCCUUAAAAUGCAGCGCUACCUUGAAAUGUUUUAUUUUCUCAACUACAGAAAGUUGGUGAGUUCACUUGCGCCUUUACUAUUCAACAAAUUACUCACUUUCCAGCGUUGUUUUAUGCUUAUCUUUGGCUCUUAUUUUGUCCUUUGAAUUGUUAUGUGUUUUAGGCUGAAUCGGUUCCUUUGACCAAUUGAAUAGAUGAAAGCAGGUGAGGCUCUGGUUUCUCUUCCUUGCCGUCAUACACGAGCUUCAACAGGAGAAUGUUGAAGAGGAGCUCGACCAAAUAAACUUAGCCCAGAAGCUAAUAACUAAAUUAUGGAGUUGAUCUUAGGUCUAUAUUUUCCGUUUUAGUUUUCCUUUUCUUGGGGUAAUUAUUCUUCCAUACUGGACGUAUGUUCUCCUGAACUGCAGGGGAAUGAGCUGUGAACAUUUUGAUAUGUGAAUGAAAUUUUGUGUUUGUUGUCUUUUGAUUUUGUAUAAAGCUGAAAUAUUUUGAUAUGUGAAUGGAAUUUGGAUUAUGAAAAAUGAUGUGAAUUAGUGCUUGUUAUGGUCUUCUGCACAUAUUGUGAGACAUUUUUUUUUAGGCAUAGUGAUGCCGUUCCUUUUUUUUUUUUUUUGGUGGAUGGUGGAGGUCAGCAACUAAGUAAGGCUGUAUAUAAGUAGUAUUUGUUUCAAAAAAUGGUGUAGUUUUUGAAAAAUUUGUGAAUAAGUAGUGUAUACGUUUUGUGUCUAUUGAAGAGAUAUUUCCUGGUUUAGGCUCUGUGAAUGUUAAUAGCAUCUGCCUAGGUGACUAAAGAUGUUUGGUUAAGAAUCUUCAUGUUAUUAAAUGACUCUGCCAGUUCUUCCUUCUGACCAUCUCAUGUUGCUCGUCCUCGGCACUAACUCCACAGGGAAAUCUUGACUAUACUAAUUUUUGUAGAACCCUUCAAAGAGCAUACAUUUUUGCAAAAGCAGAGAAUUAGUCAAUAAUAGCUUAAAUUUUAUUGUCCACCUGAAUGAAAUUAAUUUCUUUUGGCUUACAGCUCCAGGUUUUUCUUUUUAGUACUUCACCCAAUUAUUGCUACCAAUGAUGCAUAGUACUUUGUUAUAGGUUGUUUUCCAUAUAAAUAUCCUGAUUUGCAAUAUUUAUUCAUAAAGAUGCUGCAACAUUAUCGUAAAAUUUGCAUUCUUGCAGUUUUGUGAUAAAUUUUUAAACUCCAUUUUAUUUAUGUUGUAUUUCAACUGCGCAUAAAUGCCUUCUGAUUAAUCAUCUACCUUGUUAGCUAACCUCUCUGAUUAAUCAUUUUACUUUUAACUCUACACUAUAUUUGUAAGAAAUGGUUUCCUGGGAGCCAGUAUUCCUGUAUUAUAUACUACGUUAGCUCCAUUUUUUUCACCAGAAAUGGUUUUGUAAAAAAUGAAAGUUGGCGGUUGCCGUUGACCAGAGGCUUUGUGAGAAACGUCCGAGAAAUAUGAACAAAAUUUCAGACUUGUGGAAUGCCUAUACUAAAAAAUAUACUUUUUUACAUAAAUUGUUAUUCUUUUAUUACUUCAAAACUGGGCAGGGCAUUUUAUAGUUCUAUCGUGCGAAGCGCGUUUAUGCCUCCUAGUUUUACGCAAACGGGGUCAAGAGAGUGGAACAGAUAUAGAGAUAUGGAGGGGAAACAGAACAAUAACAUUAAUUUGAACUUGGACAAUGGGCUAUUAGUGGCAAUUAAUCCAAAUUUAGAGGGGCUAUCCAUGUCCAAUUAAAACUUGGACGGGAUGGACUCAAAGGAACUUGGGUUUUAAAUUGGGUCAAUGUGAAAAAUGUCCCCAAAAAAAAUGGAAAGAUGGAAUGCUAGGGUAAUGCCAUUAUUGUUGCUUUUUCCUUCUUUCUAUUUCUUUUAAAAAACAAAACUUCUUUGUCUUCAUACUUGAUUUGUUUAUAUUUGAUUCUUUUUUUUUAAUUUUUUUUAUAUUCUUGCUAGUUUAUUCUCUUACAAUUGCUCAGAUUUUGGAUAUCACUUGAUUGUUAACUAUAAAAAUUCAUGCACUUUUUUGUGAAUUUGGAUCUAUAGCUUGGUUUCGUCGUAAAUAAUUUAAUUUAUCAUAAUAUAAUAUGAUAUUUAGACAAUUUUACUUGCUUCACUUAUGAUGUUCCAUGAAUUUAUUGGACAAUGUCACCUCUUUAAAUUUUUUUUUUCCUUUUGUUCCUCAGCCCAUGUAUUGAUCUGCAUGAUUAAUUUGGUUUGAUAUGAUUUUCUUUAAAAAAAAAAGUGUAUGCCAUAAAUCUACAUUGCAUACUAACUUAUGUACCUAGAAAAUCUAUAUUGUAGAUCCAAAAAAGGAAAAAUAAAAAGAAUUUUGGUUGUAAAUUGGAGCAAUUUACAAUAUAGGUGAACGAGAAAAGAAGUUUGUUUUGUACUAAAAAACACUAAAAUAGAAUUUAUUGAAAUUUGGAUGGUAUCAAAAUAGACUUAACCCAUUUUGGUCCUAUCCAUAUUUGUCUCAUGACUAUAUGAAACUGUUUGGGUAUAGAACUAUAGAUCCAGUUUUUCUGGUCUCGUUUUUAAUCUCAACCAAAAUCCGUCCAUCCCACCUAUUUCGCAUAUCUACUGAAAGUAACCAUACCACCAAGCUGAUAAUUAUGUUCUUUGAGCAUCAAGAUCCCUUUUUAGGUCGCGGACCCUUGGACUAUUUUUUCUUUUAUUUCGGAAUCCAAUGACAAUUUUAUUCGCUAUGGACACUUCGAUUUUAAAUGACUUCAGCAUUCCAUCACACUCUUAGACUGCGAAGCUCAGGUUUUCAUGCUAAUAGAAACCUUUUAGCAUUGCGACGUGGCAUACAAGCGAGGGCGUUUGGAAUUCCAAUCGUUGAGUAGCCCUUAAUACUACUGUGUAGUCUUUUUUUUUUUCAUCUAGUUGUCGGAAAUUCGAUUGGUCACCAAUGUCUAAGUUUGUCAAAUAAUUGGCCCAAUCCAUAAUCUUCCAUGGACAUAGAUUUAACCACAUCGAUAGCUUCCUUCCUAUAACAAAGAAACAAUGCUCGUAAUUAGAAUCUCAAGCUUAGUCCUACAAACAACAGAAGGUGAAAAAACAAAUAAAAAAGGAAACAAUGGAAUAAGGAAUUUUAAGUUUAAUAUCCAGCUCCGGUGUAGAGAGCAUUUUGACCACUCAUAUUUAAGUUUCCACCGUGCAUUUAAGCACAUGCUCCCUUAUCAGCGUGAAUAAGAAAGAGCAUGAACCUGACGAUGUCAACUACUGGUAUACUAUCUAAUGGUAUUUAUUUGCUUUGAAGAAUGACUAACUUAAAAUGAAAAUGGAUGCUGACAACGUAGCCGAUAUCUAACUUGUUAAAAGAUUAAUACCAUACUAGCACAUUAGCUUCAGCUUUGGUUACUUCAUACUACCUGAGGUAGCUAGGAUCUGUGGUAAAGUCUCAGUUCCCAGUAACCUAAAACAAUGCAGCUUUCUCAUCUACUGAUGUGAACGCGCGGUAAGAAAACAAUCUCGAAAACCAAUAGGGUUUAGGUCAACAUAACAGAGUGGUAGAUUCCAAACUAAAAAGAAAUGACUCAAGCUCCAAAUUUCAUGUUUCAAAAACCAAAGCACAACAGGUUUUAACUCCCCAAUCAGUUCACUCAGGUAACAAGACCAUCAUUCAAGGACAAUGAUGCCAAUUGAUCAGCCGGAUUGCCUGCCUGCUGCUGCUGAGAAACAUUCCUUAAGACUUCCAUGGCCUCCGCAACCUUGGACUUCAGAGCUUCUGGUGACUCAAGCAGGUGUAGAACCUCCGUCUGGUCCAUCUCCAAAAGCAUACCAGUAACCUUAGCUGCUGUUUCAGGCUCCAACUGUUCGACAAGUGGGUAUAGAUUCUCGCCCAACAUCUGCAGUUAAAAUCAUACUAAGUGAUGACAAAUUAACAAUUCCGAUAAUAAUAGAACUCUCAAACUAAGCAUCAUAACUCACCCCACAUUAUGCUCGGGAUGGGAUAAAGGGAAGCAAAGAAAUUGUCAAAGUAAGGAGAUUGUCCAGUAAGAACAUGCUCCAACAAACUUAUGACCCAAGAGAAGCACACAUUCAAGCAUGAACAUCACUAGUCAAAUGUCCUCCUCAAUUAUGUCAGAAAUAUGUGCUUUAAGAAUUAUUUACAAAGUUGCCACACAGUGAAAACCAUUAUGCCCAAGACAUCCCACAAGUACUAAAACCCAAAAACAGCACAACUCCUUGAAACAAACCCUUCACUUUUUCCAGUCGAAGUGUUUAAACAAACAUAUUAUAAAAACAAUAAGAACAGAAAGAUGCUCUUGACAGUUUCCACAAUUUCAAAGUAUCUAGCUCAACAUGAGAUACAGAAAAACUGAUGGACCAAAUUACUAAGUACUGCUCUUCAAAGACUAGAAGCUGCCAAGCAUAAAAAGCACAAUUCAAACACAACAGGCAUCAGUUGAGAACUCCAAAAUCACCAUUAUUAGAACACAGCAAUUAUGGAUAAAUACACACAUGUACAGCAUCCUAAAUUAAGAAUAUAAAGGCACAUGCAUACUAUACUUUUCUAUUUUCUUGAAUGGACUAAGCUAAACAGACAAAAAUGUCGAAUAUUAGCCUACCGUCCUCUGAUCAGCAGGAGAAGCAUUUGCAAGGGCAGAUGCCAAAGCCCCAAUUGGAACUGGCUGAGAUACAACAUCACGCAAUGGCAUGCCACCCAUAUCAUAUGGGACAGAAAGCAUGCCUCCACCAACACCUGGCAUGGAGACAUCAGGCAGGGCACGGCCUGGAGGGUAACGAUAUGCACGCCCCCUUGGAACCAUCUGUCACAAAAUGAAAAUUGAGAAGAUCAUAAAAGAAAUAAAAAAGGAUUCUAGUGCCACAAGCAAGGAUAGGCACGGAAUUCAUCUGCAAACCUGCUGUUGCAUCAGUGGAACUGGUUGUUGACCCUGCUGGACUGGAACAGCUGCACCCCGCCUGCCACCAGGACGCUGUCCUUGCUGCCCUUGCUGAACUAAUGGCACAAAAAAGUUUGGCAUCGGACCCGCACCAGGCCUCAUUCCAGGAACAAGCUGCUGUUGAUAACCAAAACCAGGCUGACAAGUAAAACAAAAAACCACCCUCAGCUUUCCAACAAUUGUGCAAAUCCAUUACAUAUGCAUAAACACGAUGAAACAAAAAUAUCCCAAUGUCCCUACACCAACUAAUAAAUCUAACCAUCCCAGUAAUCUAACCUCCCCCCCCCCCAAAAAAAACCAAAAAAAAAGGCACUGUACUCAAAUUAGAACAGAGAGAAACAGGUUGUUUGUGUAACAUAAGUAUGGCAAAUCAACAAGAAUAAUCUCCCCAUAAAGCAGAACAGACCUAACAAUCAGGGACAACGUAUUUGUCUGAAACUUUAGCAAGCACAUCAUAUCAAUAGAUGCACUUAGGUACAUGGAGGGAACCCGCUGUUAUAAAUUAAGCAGCUGAUGUAAGGAGUGAAGGACUUGAUUGAAUCAUAAAUCACUAGCCUUUGGCCAUAAGCAUCUUUGAUUUACAUUGAGAACAUGUUUUGUGAAUGCUUUGAAGCCGCUGUUAUAAAUUAAGCAACGAUGUAAGGAGCAAGGACUUUAAUCAAACAUAAAAUCACCAGCCUUUGCCCAUCAGCAUCUUUAAUUUACAUCGAGAGCAUGUUUUUGUGAAUGCUUGGAUAACUAUCAUCAGCCUACCACCGUAGUAUAUAUAAACCCACCUAUUUACAUAUUAAUGGCAACGGUACACUUCACAAAAGAAAGAACAUCUGACCCAAUGAAAUGUUAUCAGCCCAUAAUAUCUUGUUAAGGAUGCAGUGAUCUCCUUGCUCAAAUUAAAAUCAGCCACGGUCAUCUCAAAAGGCUCAGACAAAUGAUUCAAAACUUACAACUCUCCCCUUAAGAUCUAAAAGGAAAAGAAAAGUAAAAGCAAGCAUACUGUGCUUCAACCAAACAGCUCGUCCAAAUCAGCUCGUGUUAGAAAAUGAGUAAUCAGCACAACCAGAAUAAGAAACAGAUUCAUAUGAAGAAUGAAUUUACUUGGGGAGGCAUGAUAGCAGGCGGUGGCUGUCCAUAAAAUAUUUGUUGCCCCAGACCAGGACCGCCAGGGGAGUACAUUGGCAUUCUAGGAGCAACAGAAGGUCCCAUCGCAAUCGGACGCAACUG
rnacentral:lncRNA from 1 species